UUCAGAAAGUACACAAAUCUGUAAAUUGUGAUGGGUGAAGAAAGGUUUAAUCUUUCAUGUAAGCUUAUGAAUACAACUGCUUUAAAUGUGUUGGAAAAAUAUGUGCUGCUUUGCUUUUUGGUGAAAUUUGUCAUUUUCAGAUGUGGCUGCUUCUGACAAAAUUCCCUAAAUAUUGCUCCCCAGUUUUAGAAACUGGAUGUUUUUGAAGGGAGUGCCUGCUUUCUGCAAAUGAGCAGUUACAAAAUAUGGAAUAUAAUUGGUUACUGUUUAAAUCUAAAAUAACACAGGACAAACAACAAUCUUGCAAAACACCAAACAGCUCAAUAUUUGUGUCUCACGUCAUGAACCGCAAUCUGUAAUUUAGUUAAAGACCCCCCUCAUGAAUCUUUACAAAAAUUAUAAAAUGUGGUUUGGAUCAUCGGUGCAGUCUCAUGUAAGGGAAACUGUGUUUGGUUUAAAAUAAGGAAUGAAAGUUUAUGGAGAUACCUAUAUUUCCGUGGUCUGGAAGUUUUUGGAUAGGCAAGUCCAUGUCACUUGGAGGGAUUUCAAGAUUUUUUUUAUAUUCGAUGUGUUAAAUGUUUACAAUGAUUCGCUGAACUUUGCACAAAAUUAUGUCUUAUUCAACCAUGAUUAUGCACAUCUGUUGGUGUGUUCAACCCACAUUUCAAAUCACUAUCCUAAAGCACCAUCAAUAAUUAUUCAGUGAAGUAUGAGAUUACAAUGCUGCAGAUACCAAAACCCUGAACCCUGAAAUAAAGACAGAAUCUUGGGAACGGUUCAUGCUUAGUUCUAGAGGGAAAUGUACAAUAUUUGAAGAAGUUGUUUCUCCAGAUGUUGCCUGGCCUAUAAGUAACUCUAGCAUUUCUGUUCUUUUCUUGGGAAAACUGAUCUCCACGUUAACUUUAUCAACAAUUGGCUGACAUAACUUGAAUCAAAAAUAUGAAGCAGCUCCAACCAGUAUCAUUCCCAUUACUGAAAGCUUCACUGCAUUUCCACAUUCUCUUUUCUUGGCUGAGUGUUGCCAUUUGCAGUUGUGUCCUAGCCUAUCCAAUUUCAAUAUUGCUUUACUCAGACACCUUCAUCUCAUAGACCUGCUUAUAUUUAAAAAAACAUUUUAUCUUAAAAUUUCUAAUUUCUUACCUCAAUGAUAAUUGUACAGUUUAACAAGUUUACAAGCCACCAAUUGUGCCCAAUUACUUAAGUAAAAAUAUAAUUUGCUUUUGAAAGUAUAAAAAGUUCUGAACAAUCAUAAUGAACCUGAGAACAAGCAGGAAGAAUUGUUAUACUUUUUGAGUUUUCUUCUGAUUACUCCUUGUACAGUUUCCAAAGGGAUUGCAGCAUUUUGGCAAGUGAGUUCUCCAAAUUAGGCAAUAGGGUUUGUACACUCUGGAAACAUUUUUUUUUAUUUUAUAAAAUUUUUAAUUGAAUUUUCAAAUAGGUUACAGAAGGAAUUUUUUUUUAAUUAUCAACCCUUCCCCCUCCCCCCUAACAUUUCCCUAUAGAAAGAGAGAAGAAGAAAAAAGAAAGAAAGAAAGAAAGAAUGCCUGGAUAUCGGAAGAUCCCCACAUGCUCCAUGGAGUUCAUAAUAGCUUUAGUAUAUAUAUUUAUUUAUUUCCCCAGAUAACCAAUAAUUUUAUCUUCGGAGCACCUAUAUAUUUAAUCCUAUCUUUUGUAAAUAAGGGUGCCAAAUUUUCAGAAAUAUUUUAUAUUUAUCUCUUAAAUUAUAAGUAAUUUUUUCAAGUGGAAUGCAGCUAAAAAUUUCAUUGUUCCAACGAUCUAUACUUAAGUAUGAAUCUGAUUUCCAAGUAACUGCAAUAGCCUUUUUGGCUACUGCCAAUGCAAUUUUUAUGAAUUCUUUCUGAUAUUUAUUCAGUUUGGAUUUCAGUUUUAUCCCUUCAAUAUCACCUGAUAAAAAUAAUGUUGGAUUAUGUGGAAGUUGUGUUCCAAUAAUUUGUUCUAAUAAAAUUCUUAAAUUUGUCCAAAAAGGUUGAAUUUUAAAACAAGACCAAGUAGAAUGUAAAAAAGUACCAAUUUCUUGAUUACAUCGGAAACAUUGAUCAGAUAAAUUUGGGUUUAAUUUAUUUAUUUCUUGUGGUGUAAUAUAUAAUUGAUGUAAAAAAUUAUAUUGCACUAAUCUUAACCAGACAUUUGUUGUAUUUGUCGUACUGUCAAGACAUAUUCUUGACCAACUUGUUUCUUCAAUAUUAAUAUUCAAAUCAGUUGCCCAUUUUUGUCUUGACUUAUGAACUCCUUGUUUAAUUGCCUGUUUUUGAAUCAAACUAUACAUACAAGAAAUAAUUUUUAAAAUUUUUCCUUUUUGAAUUAAAGUUUCUAUUUCAUUAGGUUUUGGCAAUAACAUUGUUUGACCCAAAGAGUGUUGUUUGAUAUUUUGUAUUUAUUCUUUAAUUGAUCAAAUGACAUUAAUAUACCUCCUUCAAAACAAUCUCCUAUAUAUCUAAUCCCUUUUUGAAACCAAUUGUAUAAAAGUUGGUUAUCCAUUGGAUCCAUCCGUUGGUUAUCUGGAAACAUUUGUAAGGAUUUCAGUGUUUGGUGAGAUGGAGAGGUCUAUCUGCAGAUAUUUUUGCUGGUUAACAUUGCACAAUCUGCUUUUAACUAACCUCACAUCAUUCACCAUCUUUGGGUGUUGAUUGUGGCUCAAUUGAUAACUUUAAGAUGUUUCAGUUUUCCAGCUUAGCUGUUUAGUGCAGUGUGCCAUCUAGUGUUGUUAAAUGGGCACACCAGUCCGACCAUCUGUUCAGUGGAAGGAAAUAAAUCCCACUGCAUAAAUUCAUUAAUGCUGCUUCCACUUUAUGAGAUAGUACACUGAUGAUUCCUUGUGUUAGCCACAAGGAAGCUUGUGAAUGCUGAGCUGAAAACAUUGCUUAGGUAAAAACAGUGACUUGAAAUUGCAUUAUAGUUCAGAAAAUUAAUCUUAAAACUUGCACAGCUCUCAUUAUUCUACAUUGCUACUACUUUGGAAAGUAACUUUUAGAUAUAGUAAAAAUCUCCUUUAUCUUUCAUUUAUAAUUUUGAAUUAUUGUUAUAACUAUUAGUGAAUAGUAAAAGGCUUUAAAGAAAUUAAUAUCCUUAUUUCUGAACAGCACUUUCAAUGAAGUGCCAAACAUGGGUCUUGUACUGAGAGACUGCACAUCAAAUUUGGAUACACCUACAAGCAUAAGAUUAAUUAUCCAUCUAUCAAUAAUUUCUAGUCCGUGCUUGUUUUCUGGCUCCUAAAUGGCAGAGCGACUGGGGUAGCUCUGUCUCAUUUGUAGUUUAACUGGACCCAUCCUAUCACUGCCCCCUGUAAGAGACAGUUAGAGUACCAGCAUAUUUGGUUCUGGAUUUUGCAUCAAAAAAUAUAUUCUUAUAGCCUCUCAUGUUGUUGAGUGCAAGUGAGUCAUUGUUGACUCAUAGCGACCCUAUGGAUAUUGUAGUUGUCCGUAGGAUUUUCAUGAGGUACCGAAGUAGAUGGCCAGGUCUUUCCUCUGCACAGAUACUGCUGUAGCCCAGCUUGGACUCAAGCUCAGGACCGUCUGCCUUGAAGUCCAGUGCUGAUGCCACUACACCACCAGCUGGCCCACAGCCUCCCAUACAGUACUUCAAAAUAAUGGAAUAGCAGAGCACACUUGAUGCACUAAAUGGCCUAAUUACGUUCCUAUAUCUUACAGUCUAAAUAGAUUAUUGAUUUGUAAUCAGAAGCUCCCAAUGAAUUCUUGUUGUUUAUCAGUUCAGACAAGUUUUAUUUACUAAGAACUUUCACCUCUAUUCAUCUCUUUAUUACAAAGAUUGAGUAAAAACAAUUACUUUUUAUUAUUUCAUCACACUUCUAUCCCAUUUCUACUGAAAUUUUCCUAUAAUUUAAAUAGCUAGCAUAUUAGUUAACCGUCAAAAGUGUUUAUGCAGAUAAAAAUGACAUUAACUUAGCAUGUUAUAUCAAAAACUUAAGUCUAUUUUUAUUUCAUUUGUAUAUUUUUCUGGAAGAAGUAAUAUGUUAAAGCGCUGAUGAUGUGAAACUCUGCUCAGUCAAGUGGUAAAUAUUGGGUAUUAUUUCCCUGGAUUUUGAAUUGUUAAAGCCUGUAAGCUAGUUGCCCAUAAUUGGCAUUAGAUCUGGCUCUUCACACAGUCUUUGACUACCUGGACAAUGCAAACUCCUAUGUCAGGAUGCUGAUCGUCAACUAUAGCUCAGCAUUUAACACCAUCGUUCCCACAAUCCUGAUUGAUAAGUUACAUAAACUGGGCCUCUUUACCUCCCUCUGCAAUUGGAUCCUCGACUUCCUAACUGGAAGACCACAAUCUGUGUAGAUUGGUGAUAAUAUCUCCUCCUCACUGAUGAUCAACACUGGCAUACCUCAGCGGUGGCUCUACUCUCCCUAUACCCAUGACUGUGUGGUUAGGCAUAGCUCAAAUACCAUCUAUAAAUUUGCUGAUGAUGCAAUCAUUGUUGAUAGAAUCUCAGAUGGAGACAAGAGGGUGUUCAGCAGCAAGAUAUACCAACUAGUGGAGUGGUGUCACAGCAACAACUUUGGACUCAAUGUCAGUAAGUUGAAAGAGCUGAUUGUGGACUUCAGGAUGGGUAAAAUGAAGGAACACAUACCAAUCCUCAUAGAAGGAUCAGAAAUGGAGAGAGUGAGCAUUUUCAAGUUCCUGGCUGACAAGAUCUCUGAGGACCUAAUCUGGUACCAACAUUGAUCCAGCUAUAAAGAAGGCAAGACAAUGACUACAUUAGGAGUUUGAAGGGAUUUGGUAUGCCAACAAAAGCACUCAAAAACUUCUAUAGAUGUACCGUGGUGAGUAUUCUGAUAGGUUGCAUCACUGUCUGCUAUGGAGGGGCUACAGCAUAGGACCAAAAGAAGCUACAGAGGAUUGUAAAUAUUGUCAGCUUCAUCUUGGCUACUAGCCUACAAAGUACCCAGGACAUCUUCAAGGAGUGGUAUCUCAGAAAGGCAGUGUGUAUUAUUAAGGACCCCCAGCACCCAGGCAUGCCCUUUUCUCACUGCUACCAUCAGGUAGGAGAUACAGAAGCCUGAAGGCACACACCCAAUGAUUCAGGAACAGCUUCUUCCCCUCUGCCAUCCAAUUCCUAAAUGGACAUUGAACCCCUGAACACUACCCCUCCUACUUUCAAAUCUCCUACUAUCUUUUCUUUCAGUUAGUCCUCACGAAGGGUCUCAGCCCAAAACAUCGACAGUGCUUCUCCCUAUAGAUGCUGCCUGGCCUGCUGCGUUCCACCAGCAUUUUGUGUGUGUUGUCCGGAGAUGAUAAAGCUGAUUCUGAUUCUGAGAUUUUGUCCACUCAGGAAAAAAAACUGUAAAACUCACAGAUGUCGAGCGAAGUGUGGAGGAUUAACUAGAGAUACUCAAAGUCAAAGUUGAGGGUAUAGUCAAAAGCACAAGUACGUGCAUGACAAGUGCAAUGAAAACCCUAUCUGCAGCGGCAUCGCAGGCAUAUAACGUCAAAUAAGCAACAUUCCAGAGAAAUAUAUAAAUUAGACAUAAGUUAUACAAAUUUUCACAAGAAGGAAAACAAUUAGCACAAAAAAAAGCAAAGUCUUUUUUAGUGCAAAGUGAUCAAAGUGGCCUUAGAGCUGCCGAACGGUAGUGUUCGGGUUAACAUUGCACUUUGCUUUCACCAGUUGAGGUAUCAUUUAGCAUCUUUGGAUGUUGAUUGCAACUUGGUUGCCAUAACUAGCGUUUCAAAACUGCUUAGUCGCUGUAUAUCUAUUGUGUUUGCCACCUCAAGGCAUGUUCGUCUUUGAAUUUUACACUUACCUUUCUCGAUAGAACGUGACAGGACUGGGAAUUCUCAUCUAACAUCAAUCUAUAACGUCAUCCAGCUGAAAUGGACAACAGAAGAGGAUUCUGCAGUGUAAUUUAGUGAACAGGAGAUGGAGAGAGAAGAUGCCUGAAAGGACUGGACUUGGAGUGGGGCCGGGAGUUGAUGAAGCCCUGAGAAUUCAAUGGAGAAUCAGUGUGGUGAACUACAUAUACCUGUCUGGACAUGCCCCCCCCCCCUCCGCUGACUGCUCCUGUGGAUCCUCCCAAAGACCCCUGUAUAAAGGCGAUUGAAGGCACUGCUCCUCCCUCAGUCUCCAGGAUGUUGUGUGGUGGGCUCUUGCUGAUGGUGCUUUCUUCCAGCUAAUAAAAGCCUACCUUGACUCACAUCUCCGAGAGUUAUUGAUGGUGAAUCAAUCAGCAAAGGGGAAAGGUGAGCUCCAACUUGUGCAUAUUAGUGGUUCAUUUAAAUGGCUCUUUUAUUUUCUUUACUAACCCUUUAGUCAAAUUAAGAACUAUAAAGGUAAAUUGUUUACUUGUA